UACAAUGUUUUGAUUCUUCGUCUUAUUUAAAUUUUUUUUUUGCGAUUAAUAUAUUUGUUUUUACUAGAUGAUAAAACAUGAAUAGUAUUUUACGCGUGACUAAUUUUUUUAAGUUUUUUACAAAUUUUUCAAAUAAGACGAAUUGCCAAACGUUAGACACGAAAAAAC
rnacentral:pre_miRNA from 1 species